ACCCCGUUGCCUUGGAGACCACAGUUUUCCACCCCGUUGUCUGAAGGAAUAGCAAUUCAUUAUAUGUGUGACGUGGGGGUGAAGGGUGCAGGGAGACCCGGGCUGGACGGUUGGGAAGGAAGGUCGUGGACAACAAAGUAAUGAACAAAAAUAUGUUUCACGCAUGAGAAGCUGUCCGAGAUGGCAGUGAGGGAGAGGUCAUGGCAAACGGUGUUUAUGGCAUGGAAAAGUGAAGAUUCAAAAAAAAACCCAAGGAGAGGCCAAGAUAGUGUGGAAAAUAUCCACCCCCUCCCAGAGACAGCUCAUUAGGAAGGUUUUGGAGGGAGACUCGCAGGAGGUCAGGGGCUGCUGUGUUAUCUUUGGAGGAAAGGCCAUCCCUUCUCUUCCCCUCCGCAGACGUAUCCAGUGAGACAACUCUCUCCCCAGCAAGCUUUUCUCAGGGAGCAGGCAGUUUCUUGAAAAAAUGAACCAGAUGAGGAUCCACCCACCUCCAGAAACAAAGACUGUGGCUGUCUCCAAGAAUGAAGCACCAGUCUCUUAGUUGGUAUCCCCAGGAGACCAAGUGAGUAGGUAUUACAAAUAUAAUCAGGGAAAAGAAGCUAUUUUAAAAAAUCGGUCAUUGGGCAGGAUGUUCCAAAGGGCAGAUGAAUGUAACUUCCAAGAUGAAGUAACCGGAUGUCUGUCAACUCAGAAAACAAGCUUAAAUGCCUUCUCUUCCAUGAAGACUUCCUUGAUCACUCCUGUCUUUACAGAUGAACGGCUAACUGGAAUACCAACAGAAUAAACAGACUUUAGUCCUGCCAUCUGCCCUGGCCCAUGCAGCCUGGCAUUGU
rnacentral:lncRNA from 10 species